rnacentral:rRNA from 1 species
CGCGAAGAACCUUACCAAGGCUUGACAUGUCGGAAGUAGCAACCCGAAAGGGAAGCGACCUGUUAAGUCAGGAGCCGUCACAGGUGCUGCAUGGCUGUCGUCAGCUCGUGCCGUGAGGUGUUGGGUUAAGUCCCGCAACGAGCGCAACCCUUGUUGCCAGUUAUUUUCUCUGGCGAGACUGCCCCGCAAAACGGGGAGGAAGGUGGGGAUGACGUCAAGUCAGCAUGGCCCUUAUGCCUUGGGCUACACACACGCUACAAUGGGUGGUACAAAGGGCAGCAAUGGAGCGAUCCGGAGCUAAUCCCACAGAACCAUCCUCAGUUCGGAUUGCAGGCUGAAACCCGCCUGCAUGAAGUCGGAGUUGCUAGUAACCGCAGGUCAGCAUACUGCGGUGAAUACGUUCUCGGGCCUUGUACACACCGCCCGUCACGUCAUGAAAGUUGGCAACACCUGAAGUCGAUGGGCUAACCCCGGUUUCCGGGGAGGCAGUCGCCGAGGGUGGAGUUGAUGAUUGGGACGAAGUCGUAACAAGGUAACCUUAAUUAAAA